rnacentral:rRNA from 1 species
AACACGUGGGUAACCUACCUAUAAGACUGGGAUAACUUCGGGAAACCGGAGCUAAUACCGGAUAAUAUUUCGAACCGCAUGGUUCGAUAGUGAAAGGUGGUUUUGCUAUCACUUAUAGAUGGACCCGCGCCGUAUUAGCUAGUUGGUAAGGUAACGGCUUACCAAGGCGACGAUACGUAGCCGACCUGAGAGGGUGAUCGGCCACACUGGAACUGAGACACGGUCCAGACUCCUACGGGAGCAGCAGCC